UGAAAUCCGCUGCAGUCUUUCCCCAUCGUGACCGUUCUCCCUUCUUACACCCGGGGGUUUAUUUUGCCGUGUAAAUCCAUUCAUCCUCCAGUCCUUCAAAUCUAGAAGAAGACAACAGCAACAGUUCUAUGAGAGCAGUAAGAGCCUGGGAACAGGCAGAGAGAAAGUCCAGCAGACUCAGAGAGAAAUAGAGCAGCUGGUAUACACAGUUUCCAGAGAAGUCAACAGGAACCACACCAAUGAAGUUUGGAGCAGAAUUUGGCUAACACCAUAUACCCAGAGAACUUGGACUAUUUAUUUUGGACACUUCCAUGCUAUGUUCAGCCUAUGAGUUGUUAACA